UAGGGAAUCUUCGGCAAUGGACGAAAGUCUGACCGAGCAACGCCGCGUGAGUGAAGAAGGUUUUCGGAUCGUAAAACUCUGUUGUUAGAGAAGAACAAGGACGUUAGUAACUGAACGUCCCCUGACGGUAUCUAACCAGAAAGCCACGGCUAACUACGUGCCAGCAGCCGCGGUAAUACGUAGGUGGCAAGCGUUGUCCGGAUUUAUUGGGCGUAAAGCGAGCGCAGGCGGUUUCUUAAGUCUGAUGUGAAAGCCCCCGGCUCAACCGGGGAGGGUCAGUGGAAACUGGGAGACUUGAGUGCAGAAGAGGAGAGUGGAAUUCCAUGUGUAGCGGUAAAAUGCGUAGAUAUAUGGAGGAACACCAGUGGCGAAGGCGGCUCUCUGGUCUGUAACUGACGCUGAGGCUCGAAAGCGUGGGGAGCAAACAGG
rnacentral:rRNA from 1 species